rnacentral:rRNA from 1 species
AGAGUUUGAUCCUGGCUCAGGACGAACGCUGGCGGCACGCUUAACACAUGCAAGUCGAACGAGAGAAGAGGAGCUUGCUUUUCUGAUCUAGUGGCGGACGGGUGAGUAACACGUGAGCAAUCUGCCUUUCAGAGGGGGAUACCGAUUGGAAACGAUCGUUAAUACCGCAUAACAUAAUUGAACCGCAUGAUUUGAUUAUCAAAGAUUUAUCGCUGAAAGAUGAGCUCGCGUCUGAUUAGCUAGUUGGUAAGGUAACGGCUUACCAAGGCGACGAUCAGUAGCCGGACUGAGAGGUUGAUCGGCCACAUUGGGACUGAGACACGGCCCAGACUCCUACGGGAGGCAGCAGUGGGGAAUAUUGCACAAUGGAGGAAACUCUGAUGCAGCAAUGCCGCGUGAGGGAAGAAGGUUUUAGGAUUGUAAACCUCUGUCUUCAGGGACGAAAAAAGACGGUACCUGAGGAGGAAGCUCCGGCUAACUACGUGCCAGCAGCCGCGGUAAUACGUAGGGAGCGAGCGUUGUCCGGAAUUACUGGGUGUAAAGGGAGCGUAGGCGGGAUCGCAAGUCAGAUGUGAAAACUAUGGGCUUAACCCAUAAACUGCAUUUGAAACUGUGGUUCUUGAGUGAAGUAGAGGUAAGCGGAAUUCCUAGUGUAGCGGUGAAAUGCGUAGAUAUUAGGAGGAACAUCAGUGGCGAAGGCGGCUUACUGGGCUUUAACUGACGCUGAGGCUCGAAAGCGUGGGGAGCAAACAGGAUUAGAUACCCUGGUAGUCCACGCCGUAAACGAUGAUUACUAGGUGUGGGGGGACUGACCCCUUCCGUGCCGCAGCAAACGCAAUAAGUAAUCCACCUGGGGAGUACGACCGCAAGGUUGAAACUCAAAGGAAUUGACGGGGGCCCGCACAAGCAGUGGAGUAUGUGGAUUAAUUCGAAGCAACGCGAAGAACCUUACCAGGUCUUGACAUCGUAUGCAUAGCUCAGAGAUGAGUGAAAUCUCUUCGGAGACAUAUAGACAGGUGGUGCAUGGUUGUCGUCAGCUCGUGUCGUGAGAUGUUGGGUUAAGUCCCGCAACGAGCGCAACCCUUACUGUUAGUUGCUACGCAAGAGCCUCUAGCAGGACUGCCGUUGACAAAACGGAGGAAGGUGGGGAUGACGUCAAAUCAUCAUGCCCCUUAUGACCUGGGCCUCACACGUACUACAAUGGCUGUCAACAGAGGGAAGCAAAGCCGCGAGGUGGAGCGAACCCCUAAAAGCAGUCUUAGUUCGGAUUGUAGGCUGCAACCCGCCUACAUGAAGUCGGAAUUGCUAGUAAUCGCAGAUCAGCAUGCUGCGGUGAAUACGUUCCCGGGCCUUGUACACACCGCCCGUCACGCCAUGGGAGUCGGUAACACCCGAAGCCUGUAGUCUAACCGCAAGGAGGACGCAGUCGAAGGUGGGAUUGAUGACUGGGGUGAAGUCGAAACAAGGUA